rnacentral:rRNA from 1 species
GAUGAACGCUGGCGGCGUGCCUAAUACAUGCAAGUCGAACGCUGAAGGAGGAGCUUGCUCUUCUGGAUGAGUUGCGAACGGGUGAGUAACGCGUAGGUAACCUGCCUGGUAGCGGGGGAUAACUAUUGGAAACGAUAGCUAAUACCGCAUGACAACAGUUAUUGCAUGAUAACGGUUUAAAAGGGGCAACUGCUCCACUACCAGAUGGACCUGCGUUGUAUUAGCUAGUUGGUGGGGUAACGGCUCACCAAGGCGACGAUACAUAGCCGACCGAGAGGGUGAUCGGCCACACUGGGACUGAGACACGGCCCAGACUCCUACGGGAGGCAGCAGUAGGGAAUCUUCGGCAAUGGACGGAAGUCUGACCGAGCAACGCCGAGGGAGUGAAGAAGGUUUUCGGAUCGUAAAGCUCUGUUGUAAGAGAAGAACGAGUGUGAGAGUGGAAAGUUCACACUGUGACGGUAUCUUACCAGAAAGGGACGGCUAACUACGUG